ACGAACGCUGGCGGCGUGCUUAACACAUGCAAGUCGAACGGAAAGGCCCUGCUUUUGUGGGGUGCUCGAGUGGCGAACGGGUGAGUAACACGUGAGUAACCUGCCCUUGACUUUGGGAUAACUUCAGGAAACUGGGGCUAAUACCGGAUAGGAGCUCCUGCUGCAUGGUGGGGGUUGGAAAGUUUCGGCGGUUGGGGAUGGACUCGCGGCUUAUCAGCUUGUUGGUGGGGUAGUGGCUUACCAAGGCUUUGACGGGUAGCCGGCCUGAGAGGGGGACCGGCCACAUUGGGAAUGAGAUACGGCCCAGACUCCUACGGGAGGCAGCAGUGGGGAAUAUUGCACAAUGGGCGGAAGCCUGAUGCAGCAACGCCGCGUGCGGGAUGACGGCCUUCGGGUUGUAAACCGCUUUCGCCUGUGACGAAGCGUGAGUGACGGUAAUGGGUAAAGAAGCACCGGCUAACUACGUG
rnacentral:rRNA from 1 species